GAAAUAUAUAAUACAGUGAAUAUCAAUAAAUACAUAUAUAUAAAUAAAAAUACAUAAGUGAAGAUUGGAAAAAAAUGUAUAUAAAGAACUGAGAACUCAGUCAAAACUAUAUUCAACUCAAAAAUACUGUUAUGUUGGAUACAUUGAUGUAUUUUUCAAUGUUCAAGACCAAAACGUUCACUUUCAGGUUGACAUUUGUUUUUCAACCAACUUUUGACCUGGAUUUGGCUCCAUUGUCAUGAGCGAACACAAGACGAACCCUCUACUACUGCUGCCCCCUACUGGGUCACAACACGGCAUGAUUUAACUUGAUGUUUCUCUUUAACGUUUUCUUUCUACAUCUCACCACAACAAUCACUCACUAAGAAGUUAUGCAUUCAAUUCAAUUAAUUCCUUUUAUUUGGUAUAGGCCAAAAUUGCAAAUUACAAGUUUGCCUCAGAGGGCUUUACGGUCUGUACACAUACAACAUCCUCUGUCCCGAAACCCUCCAUCAGCACAGGAACAACUCCCCAAACAGGAAAAACCCUUUGAUGGGGAGAAACCUACAAUGAUGUCAUGUGUACAGAAUGAACAAUGUAGAAGAUGAACGAUACAUUCAGUUCAUACGACAGAAAUGGUUCAAAUAAUUGUGAGUAGUAAGCAGGUGUACAACAGGACCACCAUCACAUAGAACCACCAUCACAUAGAACCACCAUCACAUAGAAUCACCGUCAGAUAGAACCACCGUCACAUAGAAUCACCGUCACAUAGAACCACCAUCACAUAGAACCACCGUCACAUAGAACCACCAUCACAUAGAACCACCGUCACAUAGAAUCACCGUCACAUAGAACCACCGUCACAUAGAACCACCGUCAGAUAGAACCACCAUCACAUAGAACCACCGUCAAAUAGAACCACCGUUACAUAGAAGUUCUAUGUAUACCUCAAAGUUCCCUGCGCCUUGUAUUCUUCCGUUGGAAUAAUCCGAAAUAAACUUGGUGUAAUUUUAAAACAGCGAAGACUACGUUUCCUAUUGUUAAACAUAUAAACGCCGUAGUCUGAAUCAUGUUCAUCUGCGCUGUAUUACGGUCUGUGAGCAUCCAAUCAGUGCCUUGCGGCUGCAGCAGCGACCAAUCAGGAUCCAGGAGGUGUGUAAACACGUUGUGGAUCAGCCCUGUGGCCCCCGACCUUUCUUACCUCACGGACCGGUUCCAUGUCAGACAAUGUGGCGGUGAUUAGGUGCACAUGGGUGUACAUAAGGGACGUAGGUGACAGGAAGCGAGGGACAGGUAGGGGAGCACCAGACCACGAAGACAGACCACCGUCAAUAGGAGCACGUUCAACCGGUAUGUUCAUCUGUUUAUACAAUUGCCUGCAAUAAAUUACAAACCUCAACCACAAUCAUCGCUGGAAAGUCUUUUGUGUGUCUGCAUCGAAACAUCACUCCCACCUGU
ensembl:lncRNA